rnacentral:rRNA from 1 species
GUGGGGAAUAUUGGACAAUGGGCGCAAGCCUGAUCCAGCCAUGCCGCGUGAGUGAUGAAGGCCCUAGGGUUGUAAAGCUCUUUUGUGCGGGAAGAUAAUGACGGUACCGCAAGAAUAAGCCCCGGCUAACUUCGUGCCAGCAGCCGCGGUAAUACGAAGGGGGCUAGCGUUGCUCGGAAUCACUGGGCGUAAAGGGUGCGUAGGCGGGUCUUUAAGUCAGGGGUGAAAUCCUGGAGCUCAACUCCAGAACUGCCUUUGAUACUGAAGAUCUUGAGUUCGGGAGAGGUGAGUGGAACUGCGAGUGUAGAGGUGAAAUUCGUAGAUAUUCGCAAGAACACCAGUGGCGAAGGCGGCUCACUGGCCCGAUACUGACGCUGAGGCACGAAAGCGUGGGGAGCAAACAGGAUUAGAUACCCGAGUAGUCC